GUGAAUGGGUGCCAUCAGAAUAAGGACAUCACAGUCCAUCAGUUGAUGUCUUGUUGAAAGCUAUGUGUUUACAACAAAACUUUUUCAUUGGAGAGACCAUUAUAAUGGACAAGGCUCGAAUUCUGGCCAUAUUGCUGUUUGGACUCUCUUCUGAUGGCACCCAUUCACUGCAGAGGAUCCACUGCUUCAAACGAACACCUGAUGUGUGAUGAUGAGUAACACACCCUCUCAGCCUGAUCAGGAAACCCACACAGCGUAGGUGUACGACCCAGGAGGACUUCAAGCAUCCUUCAGCAAAU